UACGGAGGAUGCGAGCGUUAUCCGGAUUUAUUGGGUUUAAAGGGUGCGUAGGCGGAUUUUUAAGUCAGCGGUAAAAUGUCCGGGCUCAACCCGGGCCGGCCGUUGAAACUGGGGAUCUUGAGUGGGCGAGAAGUAUGCGGAAUGCGUGGUGUAGCGGUGAAAUGCAUAGAUAUCACGCAGAACUCCGAUUGCGAAGGCAGCAUACCGGCGCCCGACUGACGCUGAGGUUCGAAAGCGUGGGUAGCAAACAGG
rnacentral:rRNA from 1 species